ACGUAGGUGGCAAGCGUUGUCCGGAUUUACUGGGCGUAAAGGGAGCGUAGGCGGACUUUUAAGUGAGAUGUGAAAUACCCGGGCUCAACUUGGGUGCUGCAUUUCAAACUGGAAGUCUAGAGUGCAGGAGAGGAGAAUGGAAUUCCUAGUGUAGCGGUGAAAUGCGUAGAGAUUAGGAAGAACACCAGUGGCGAAGGCGAUUCUCUGGAAUGUAACUGACGCUGAGGCUCGAAAGCGUGGGGAGCAAACAG
rnacentral:rRNA from 1 species